CUCUUGUAACGCCGCGUCAACGCCGCUUGCACACCGGUAGUCGGUUGUUGGGACAAAACGCCUAACUGUAUGUAAAACCAGGUGGUUGUGCAAAUCGGGUUGUGAUGUGGACCUUGCCCAGUACCGAUUUAAACACGACUUGCUAAAGUUUAGAAAUCCAUUUUUCCUGGUGUUCGCGGACACUACACCUGUGCGUUGACUAAGGGUCACUGGCAACUCUCGUUGAUGCUCCCUGGAACGUUUGCUAGCAGGUCAGAGCCACUUUAGGAAUAAAGCUCAACUACCACUGGUACGAAUAUGUGCAUUGGCUAGGGCGAGUAAAUGCAUCACGGCUUGAAUUAAAAAACUGUGGCUUAGGCAUCCAUUUCGCAUGCAUUUUACUCGGAUUCUGCUCCACGUCAUCGUUCAUUAUGUUGAGGUUGCGGCUCGUUGAUGUCGAGACCACCGCUAUGUGAUCAUUUCGGUCAUCGGAACCCUGGUUGGCUUGCCUUCUCCGUCGCGCACAGAGGGGCUGUGAAACCUCCACAUUUGACCACGUGGUGGAUUGAAUUGCUAACGGCCCUGUGGUUAUGGCCUGCUCCCGCAGCCCGCGCGGCAACCCAGGCCUGCGUGGAACGCAGCUGCGUCAGGACAACAUCGCAAGAGCUUCAAUUGCAUCGUUAGGUCGGCUUCGAGCAACCUCACAGUACCGGAGGUAAGCGCAGCGGAAGGCCAGUCGCAAUCCAUUCCGCUGCUCGGUCAUUUGUACUAUUGGUACUUUACUCAGCCAGCAGGUAAGGCGCCUUACAUCCAAAUUCAAGUACCAAUGGCCUCAUACUGGAGUUGGGCGAUGAAUUCACUGGAUCACGCAGUCGAGCAAUCCCUAGCCAGAGAUGGGUUUUGCCAAGAGAAACUCACGUUAACCAACUAACCAAACAACGAACUCCAACCCACACCUUUCAAUUCCCACCUCCUUAUCACUCCGCGGCUUCCAAAUUGCUCCAACUAGCAGUUCCUCCCCGCCACCACCUUCACCACCACUUUCAUCACCGCCCACAGCUUCACCGCCACCACCAGCACUGCGGCUGCUUCAACGGGCUUCAGCGGCAGCGGCGGCGGAGGGAGGGACGGCGGCGAGUGGGGACACUUCGGACUUGGCUGUAGCAGCCUGGCAGCUCCUAAAUCCGGUCCCACUGCUACAGCAGCUACAACGUUUCAUUCUUCAGUUGGCGUAGCCGGCGUAGCAGCAAAACCCGCAGUAAGGGAGCACGGGGCAUCGUACUUCGUACGGUCGAUCAGGUCGUCGCAGCGGCCUCCGCGUUGCGCUCACUGUACGGUACGGCGGCAUCUCCUGCUGUAGCAGCGCCGGCGGCAGCACGGGCAACGGCGGCGGCAGCGGCGGCGCCAGGAAAGGAGCCACCUGGGA
rnacentral:lncRNA from 1 species